CAGGUGUAAUGGGCGGAGCUUAUAACAAUGACUGACAGGGAGCUAAGAUGGAGGCGGCCCUCUCUAUACUGACUGCCAGGUGUAAAGGGCGGAGCUUAUAACAAUGAUUGACAGGGAGCUAAGAUGGAGGCGGCCCUCUCUAUACUGACAGCCAGGUGUAAAGGGUGGAGCUUAUAACAAUGAUUGACAGGGAGCUAAGAUGGAGGCGGCUCUCUCUAUACUGACUGCCAGGUGUAAAGGGCGGAGCUUAUAACAAUGACUGACAGGGAGCUAAGAUGGAGGCGGCUCUCUCUAUACUGACUGCCAGGUGUAAAGGGCGGAGCUUAUAACAAUG